rnacentral:lncRNA from 1 species
CCUGCCCAAGGACACGCCCCCGACCCUGGCAGAUGAGCGCCGGGACGAGCUGCGGGCUCUGCAGGUGGGUGAGGGGAGGUGUACGGGAGGGGGUCGUGUCAGUCAGCGAGUUUAAAACUGGGUGCCUCUUCCUCAAAAGCUUAGGACAGUGCACAGAAAGGGUUGAGAGAUGGAUUGAGCUUAUUCUGUCCUAUACCAGGCUGUCCCAACAUCCUGUGUCGACAGUACCCUGCCUAUCUUGACCCCUUCUGGCUGCUCGGCCGCUGAUCACCGCCUCCUGCCCCCAUGCUCUUGUCCAUUCCCGCGGCUCAGGGUACCCCUGAGACUCGUCUGGAGAAACGGAAGGACACGGACCGAAUUUACUGGUACCAGGUUGGUUGGCUGGAUAGUAGCCACGGAUAAAGCUAACAAGACUACUUCACACACUGCAACAUAUAUAUGCAGGUGUACAGCGAUCUCAGCUCCGGCAAGACUGGCGCCCUUGUUCGUCCCAACCUGGGAGAUUCCAAGGCCCUGCCAUACCCUCGCCGUCUCGCCACCAACCGCGGUGAUGAGCGGGAUGGAAGGGAGAAGGCACCCCAGCAAGGCAAAGACCUGUGGCUGCCGCUGGGUACGCGAUCUUGUGGAGGAAUGUCCGUCUGUAUGUGGGGUUUGUUUGUAUGUGCGUCCAUGAACACAAAUGGUCGUCCCGUAGGUUGGCUAUGGUAUGUACUAUAUUUGUAUAUUUGGCUUCAGACACAGCAAGCAUGAUAGGGCCCGGCUAGAAAGUUACAAGCUCAGCUCCGGCUUAUAGCUGGAUAUAUUUGAGUAGAAAUCCACAGGUCAGGCAUUACUGCUAGAGCACGCACAAUUGCCCCAUGGUCGAAAAUCCUUACGAUGGUGGUAGGGAUAGUGCCCCAAGUCGAUGGACGGUGGUGAGCUAAUUAAGUUAACUUGUGAGAUGACCAGGGAUGGUGUUGGGCCGCCGUUGAUCCGGCGGAUUCCGGCAUCCAACGGAAUCCACCGGAUCCAGAGGGAAUAAAUGGGAGCCCAAAGGGUACCUCCUGCCGGGGACGUUACAGGGUUUUAUGAAGGUCCCCUGUCCGUAGAAGGCCUGCUGUGAGAAGUUCAUUUUUGUGUUCAUGCAUUAAAAUAUGUUUAUCUUCCCCUCCCCUCCCACCCGCACGCAGAUGAUCAGUUCAGUUUUGACAAGUCCUCUGACUUCAAUGGAGCAGCCCUCCAGGGGUCCCUGGCAGCCGCUAUUGCAACAAUUGCAGUGAGUUGACAGCAAUUGAAGUUGACGCGUUUGUUAUUACAUGUGUACAUGCAUCUAUGCAUGGAUGUGCAUUGGUACUGAUUUUAAGAUAUCGGCAUCCCACAUCGGCUGGGCCGGCCGACCUUCUCCCUUUGUCAGUAAAAUAUUCGACCACCUAUAGGGACGGUAGCUAUACGAGAACGUCACCUAAUCGAAAUUUUUACUGACGCUGCUCUUCUGCUACCUUCGUUUGCACCCGGGUGGAAUCUGGCGCUGGCCUUAUCGCCCUGCUGCCGGGCCUUCAGUUUUAGUCUCGGGUAAUGCCCUUUCUCAGGCGACCGUACACAUGUAAGCAUAUAACACACUUACAUGAAGGCACGCAUCAUAUCAUACCGCACGCAAAUGCGCCAAGCAAGUCGGUUUCCCGCCAUGCCCACACCACACCCUUCCCCAUGCACACGCACUCGCAGGAGGCUGCCAACGCAAGCAGUCGCUCCCCCGUCACCCUACUGCCCACGCUGGUCAUCGGAGCCGCCAGGCAGGUCCUGGGCAAGAUACUGCCCGGAGUGGAGAGCCCCCUGGACAACUUCGAGGACUUCAAGGAUGUCAUUGCGAUGUACAAAAAGGUAUGGCAUUGUCGAGGUGUCAUAAAUGUUUACGGCAUCGUACUCGUGAUGCACAUGGGCGAUGUCGUACAGGAGCUUAUGCAUGCGCACGGCACCGUAUUCAUUUGAUUAUACACGUGGGCACGGCAGGCAGCUCGUGUCCCUACACACACCUUUUUCCCUUGCCCUUACCUCCACACUGCCACCUACUCCACGCAACCCCGAACCCGCCCAAACCUUCCUGUUUUUCCUCUGUACCGUCCCCUUUCCCUGCAGUCUAGCGGCUCCUUCAAGAGCCUCCUCCCCACGGACCUCUAUCCCCAGGGCGCAAACGGCGGUGCUGCUGCUGACAUGGACGGGAAGCCAUCAAAGGUGUCACCGUUCAAGUCAGCUGACGGUGAGCCACAUGUCGUACAGCCUGCCGAGCACGUUGCCGUUGUGGAAUCCCUAUCUGCAAGGAAAGUGUCUAUCUUCAUGGACGAGCAAACUAAAGCAACAGUGACUAAAAAGCCAACCCUCCACUCGAUGAGGAUAUUUUACCCAAUCCGUCCGUGGCCGAGUCAUGAUGUACCCAGUGGAUCGGUAACACGGUCUCAGGGUCCUAUCGAAUCCGUUUUCAGACCCUUUCGAUGGUUGGUGGUUAGGGGCGUUCAUUAAAUCGGCGUCACAUCACAAGCUCGCCACAGGGUCUCGACGGCGUUGCCGUAACUUCCCUUCGAAUGCGGCCCAAACCUGCUGCAUCCCCAUUCCCACUUUAGCAUCCCCCUCUUGAACUUAGACAUAGACACACACACACACACCGCAAUGUCACAGGCGGUUGGGAAUUCCAGCUGAACAAGGAGGCGGCGGCCAAGGUGGACAGCUACACGGCCGAGAUGAGGGUGAGAAGUGAGGGGGGAAGGUGGGAUGGUGUGGAGACUGGGCUGCCGAAGCUGCCUAAUGUGUACAUAUGAAUUGCGUCCCGGGGUUAACAGGUCUCCUCUCCGCUGGGCCUUGUGUUCGGCCCCCUCCCCCUCCCCCUCGCCUCCCGUUGUUGCACGGCCAGGUGGGCCCUGUGUACGGAUCUGCUACCGGCACCCCAGCUGCUCGCAGCUUCUUCGCAAAGGAUUCCAAGCCCGGAGCGAGCAAGACGGACGAGCGGCUCGGAUCAAAGCUAUGGAACUUGGUGACUGGCAAUACACCCACCAUCAACAACCUCCUGUAUUUUAACGUAAGGCACAGCACAAGGCGCAGUUAACCAUCCACGGUUUUCCUACACAAGUAUAGGGCUCUUACGUAUGUAUUUGCGUUGUAUCCCUAAAGCAUUUAGUGUUGCAUGCUCUGUUGUGUCGUUUCCAACAACACCACACGUCUAAGGGCAUUGACGGACACCCCGAGCCUUAUAACCUGUAAACAUAACCCACCCGUACUGUGCCCGUGACGUACAAUUAUGUACACCGCUUUGUCCGUUUACAUUCUCUGGUUUUGCGCCCCAGGCAAUGCCUCUAUCUCAGCACGCACUCACUCGCUUACUCGGGCCCCUGUCCCCCUUCCUUCGACACACAGCCUCCCCGCGUGCUGGAUGGUCGCCCGGACGCCUGGCACUGCGACCUGGAGUUUGGUCGCCAGGCCGUGGCAGGUUACAACCCGUGUGUCAUCACCGCCCUCACAAAACUGCCAGAGAGCUUUGGAAGCGCAAUUCGGGGGGAGCACAUCAAUGGUAUGAGUGGGUGGGGAGGAUGGAGGGCGGGAAAAAUUGUCUGUUGGCUUCUGCCUUUACCCUUUUCUUUUCCCCCCUUUCUUCCUGCCCCCACUUUUUCCUUCCCUCCUCUACUUGUCCCCGUCUUUCACCCUUCCUUCCUAAGUAAUGAACACGCACAUGUAUACUGUACCCAGCUGACCUGCAGGGGGCCACCCUGGAGCAGUUGGUUUCGGAGGCGGCGGCGGGCGGCAAGCCCCGGUUGUACUCAAUUGACUAUUGGGAUCUGUCGGCUUUCUGGGAGGCAGCGGCCAACGAGCAAAUCAAGGAUGUGGUCCAGCACGCGGGCCGUGCCAUCCUCUACCUGCGGAAGUAAGUGGGGAGUAAGUGUAAUGCUGUUGUAUGCUUUUUACUAGUAGGAAAGGACAACAAACUAUGGCAUCCGGCAGUCUUCAGCAUUCAGCGAACCAACAAAAUCACCUAAUUACUGUCCUACCCUUAUAAAACCAACACCUCCAAUCCGCCUCCCCACCCACCUGCCCGCCCCAAGCAAUCUUCCUCUCCCCUAAUAUCGUUUCUCCCCUCCCCGAUCCUGCAGGGAUGAGCAGGGCAAUGAUGCGGGCCUUAUCCCCGUGGCCAUCGAGCUAGCCCAUUCCAAGACCCACGCGAAGAACCCUGGUCUGGCCCGCACUGCCGGCCAGGUUUACUCUCGCUCCCAGCUCUCCGCUGACACCGCCACUCUAGCUGUGUGGCGACUCGCUAAGAUGAUCUUCAAGUCGCUGGACUCGUCGUUCCACCAAGUGGGUUUGCAUGUGGUGUGUUUCGCGUUUCUGCGUGUAGAUGUGCGUUGGUGGUUUUUGUUAAGGAUUGGGAGCAGGCUGUCGUGCAAACGCCCUUCUGCAAGUUUUAACGUAGCAUGCCCAUAAAACAAUAUUGUCUUCUCCCUUCCCUGCAGCUGAUCAGCCACUGGAAUCGCACCCACUGCGUGCUGGAGCCGUUCUUCAUCGCCCUUCGGCGACAUGUUAGCGUCAUGCAUCCGGUACGGAAGCAAAUUAUUGUUGCGAGCAAGAGAGGAAUGCACACAAAACUUCUACUAUUACAACGGCUAUUACCUUCAUAAUCCUUGCACCGUCAUUUUACGUUCCAAGAGCAAUGAUUGUCUGCUUAUUGAUCUUUUCAAAUGUACCUUUAAAACCUGCUCCCUACGAAGUAAAUGAUGUGUGGAACAGGGGGGCAUAUCUUCACCCGUGGCAGCUACCCUGCGAAACCCUGCUUUCCCCGGUAUUUCGGGGCACCCUCAUCCAGUCACCCUAGUCAACUUCUCAGUGGAUCGCUUAGGUUCCGCACCCACCGCCAGCAUCCAACGGAAUCUGCCGGAUCGACGGUGGCACAACUCCAAUCCUGGUCGUCUCGCGAGUCAACUUAAUCUCAGGUCACCACCGUCCAUCAACAGGGGGCACAUUUAUCUUCCUAUAUGCCGGAUAGGACAGGGCGAGGUGGAACAGGGGCUGCCAAGGGCCUCACACUACUGCAGAAUAGUGCGAGCAACAAUAAGCUCCAAUAGUGUAGGCAUAAUGCCGGAACUAUGGAGCUGUCAGCUGAAGUAACAAAUUUGAAAUUUGGCAAGCCAUAUGGCUGCCGUACACACCUUAGAGGCUAUACUCGCUUCGAUCCUGCCACAUCUAAGCUACAAUUCAACAGCGGUAAACCUAUUGCAAGCUCCUCCCCUUGGUUAUGCCCGCCCAAAUCGUAAAACCAGGUAUACAAGCUGAUGCUGCCGCACUUCCGCUACACCUUGAACAUCAAUCGUAACGCUCGCUCGGGCCUAAUCAACGCGGGCGGAAUCAUAGAGAAGUCCUUUUCUGCGGGGCCUUAUGCCAUGCGCCUAGCAUCCGUUGUGUACGGCAAGUACUGGAACUUCGCCACGGAGGCUCUUCCGGAGGACCUCAAGACCCGGUGUGUAGUUGGUGGGGGGGAUCAGGGAUUAGGAUUAGGGGUUCAGAGGGAGCAUCGGGUAAUGCACAGGACGCGACCACGGUUGAGGUAAUCAGCUUUCAAGAGCCACCCCAUGGAAGAGGGAUAAGGACCAUGAUGGAAGGUGGGUAAGUAGAUAUCCUCCAAUAUACCAGAGUAUAUCUUUCCACGGGCCCCAUCCCACACUAGCCCCCCUCACGCUGUCCCGCACAGGGGUAUGGUGGAUCCCACUGGCAAGCCCUGGCUCGAUUAUCCGUACGCCACUGACGGCUUGGAUCUGUGGAACGCACUGACGUCGUACUUCGACACGUACCUGAAGCUGUACUACAAGAGUGAUGAGGAUGUGAAGGGGGAUACGGAACUGCAGGCUUGGUGGCAUGAGGUCAAGGUGGGUUAUAGAGGGUGUGAAUGAGGGGGCAGUACGCGCUCCCCGCCAUGGCUUGAAUUCGCCUUCCGUCUGGCUUUCCCCCUUCACCUUUCCCCCUUUCCAUGAUCCAACCCUUCCAUGCUUCCGAACAUAUUUUUCCCUCCAAACCAUUUUUUGGCGAGGCCCCAGCGCGUAGCGCGUCGGGGGACCCCGCCCUGUAGAUUGCACCCCGCUGUGCAUGCAUGUGCAUACAUAUGUGUCCGUGUUUAACGACCAAACAUAAUAUCUCGCCGCACUAAAGCGCAAUAUUUAAAGCCGUUAAUCUUCCAUAAUUCAAGGCAGUUUCCUUGUAGCUGACAAAAUUUGUAUGACGGCAAACAAGUUUGCCUGUUUCCAUGGACCAACGUCAAGGUCACGUCAACGUUUCUCGCGCCAUAUUUCGAUCCAUACGAUGCCGUGUUUCUUGUCAAAGGAGCAUGCAUUCGACGGCGUCAUGCGAAUAGAACAUGCAUCGCGACCAGCUCUCCAUGACCAUUGCACCGGCUUGCCGUGCCGAAGGCCUCGCGCUUCACAAUUUGAUUUGCGCUACCCCAAUGGGAUGAGAUAAGCGUUUAUGAGCAAAACUACGCAAAGUUUAGGAACUUUGAGUGGUAGCACCAAAGAAUCAUGGCGAUGUUUACUCUAUCGGUUUACUCUUCAUCUUCACUAGCCGGCACUUUGGUGAUCGAAUGUGUCCACGGCUCCGAAAUGCCUUCAGUAAGCUGAUAGUUUUGGUGCCUUCUCUCAGCCUCUCGGAGGUGAUGUCCAAAUCUGCCGCCGUACUGGCAUGCACCCGGAAUUCACGAAACUCACUUCAUCUCCGAGCGUGUUACUGCCAUUUACCCUUCACGCGACUGGAGUAGUCUCUAUCCCCAUUUGGGUCGGUGACUAACGUGCGCAAAUUUUGACAGAUUACCUUCCCGACUGCUCUUGUAACGCAACUCGCCCUCCCAUUCCUUCACACCCACAUGCCAGACCGAAGGCCACCCCGAUCUCAUCCGCUUUGGACUCCGCCCCGGGGCCGAAACCCAGCUCUGGGGUUUUGAGGGUCCUAUCCCUUCCGUACAGCAGCUUGUACGGGUGCUCGUCACCAUUGCCUGGCUGGCGUCAGGCCAUCACGCUGCGGUCAACUUUGGGCAGUACGACUACACGAGCUUCGUCCUCAACGCUUCUUCGUUGGUACGGCGGCCCAUGCCGGCGCCGGGGGAUGAGGGCUGGGAGGUAAGGGGGAGUGAGUGAGUGGAAUUGGGUGUCAGAGGACGUUUGGCAUUGGGGGCUCGUUGAGCUGCGAGCAUGACCAUUAUGAAACUACGGUGACCAGGGCUGGGGAGGAGGGUUCUUAAAUUAAUGAAAGCUAUUCACCUGCAGCAUUAUACCCCCCUUCCAACGAGCUCUCAACCCUCAGCACCCCAUCCAACGAGCUCUCCCCCUUUUCCUCCGCCCCAGGAGCUGACACGCGCCCGCGUCGGUCCCACCCAGGAGGGUAUUCUUAUGAUGUACCUCGCUGACCCGCUCACCGCCAUCACGGUACGGCAAUGGGAUGGUGCACUGUACGGCAACGGGUGAUGUAUGCCAAAACCGCGGUGAUUGUGCUGAUUAGUUUUCUUGCUUGUGUGUGCGUGGGAAUGUAUGUUCAGGAGCUUCAUUAUAUUUCCCCAGUUUGGAGUCGCAGUGUUGGGUUUGGACUCCUUGGGGCGAUUUGCUCACUGACGGCCUGCUACGCUUGCAGCAUCCACACAAUCCCACAGGACCUCAAGUCGCUUUUGUGUCAUUUCCACCUUCCCAUUUCGAACUGCGCAUAUCGCUAGACAUUGUGCCUUUACCCCGUUCCUUCUCCCCCCUUCAACCCCGUAUACAGGUCGCCGCCACUGUCAAGUUGUUGUCAAGUCACGCCAGGGAUGAGCACACUCUGGAUGAGGUCAACGAACAGCUUGUGGUGAGGGUGGUUGGGGGAGGCUUCGGGGCCCUGGGGUGGUGGUUAUGAAUAAUGUCUGGAAGGCUGUAUACCACCUAGCCGCAAUAUGGGGCUGGGGGAGGUUCGAAGGAAGAGGUUUAGGGAAACAGAUGUGGAAGAUAGAAGAGCCACAUGCAUGGGAGGUGGCUUGCAGAAUGUACUUGCUGCAUGUUAUCGCCUUCUGAUAGGCCAAGCCACCGCGCCCCCCAACAUGCAUUGUUGCUAAAACCGUGACAGCAGCUCUAAAACCCAAAACUCUCGCUCCAUCCCUGCAGGAUCCCGCUGCCCGCGAGGCAAACCGGGCUUUCAUCGGCGCCAUGAAGCGCCUGGAGGAAACCAUUGAAAUGAGGAAUGCGGACGUGGCUAACUGGGCCCGAUUUGGCCUGGCGACAGAUGACACAGCCGGCCCGCUGCCGUACACGCUACUUGUGCCGGGCUCGCAGGCGGGCGUUACGAUGCGCGGCGUGCCGUACUCGGUUUCCAUCUAAGGCAAUGUUUGGCAUGCCGCAAUCUUUGGGUCGUUAGGCAAGGCCAGAAAGCGCUUGCUUGAUAAUUGAACUGUGUGAAAGGGCAGUUAAGCUGGGGGUAAAGCUUACACUUCCUCUACUCACAGAAGCAUGACAUGCUCUUCGCAGUAUGCGUGCAUGAUUAUUUUCUUAAACCAUAUCGGUGUUGUGUGCAUUAUUAACCUGAUGCUCGGUUGUGGCCGUUAUGGCUUCUUUCGGCAACGGUUGGCACAGCUAGCAGGUUUUUACAGAUACAUACGGCAUGUGGAUAUAUAUACAUGGUACAGGCCGAAACUGUACUAGUGGCUGCAAAACACUUUACGGCUUUUGCCGCCUUUUGCGAAACGGUCGGAAGCCUCAAACGCUGCAAUUUAUGAUAUCGAUGCGUUUCAAACGUUUUGCAUAUGCCCUACGCGCGGACGCAUAUGCAUGGACGUCCUCAGAUCGCUCUCAGACACCCUGAUCACUUGAUUGCUACCCGCCUAGGGUGUAGAGCUGCGAACUUAGGUGUUCUUCUUGCGCAAGUUGCGCCGUUAGUACUGAUAAGAAGCUAAGGGGAAACGUAACAACCAGAUGGUUAGCUGAUUGGACUAUGUGGUGGGGCUAGGUAUACUUGGGUCGAUCACUCUCUCACAUGAAGCAUCUCAGCUCCUGAAAACAGCCCCAAGCAAAGGGGUAAGGUCUGCCAUACACAGUAGCUCGCGCCUGACGUUCGGCGGGACUGGUCCUGCGCACUUUUGAGCAAUGUGAGACGCCCUUGCUUAGAUUAGAGGCGGUGGUACUUGUGCAAGACCUUCCAUGUCUGGGAUUCAAGAGGCCUUAUCGUAUGAGCCCAAACAGUGUUGUCCUGGGGCCUUUCGCCUAAUGGCCAGCUAAGGUCGCUGGCCCUUCACUAUGAAUGGAACUUGUCUCUUCUUAAGGGUUUCGCAGGCUUCAGUACGUGCGGAAACGGAAACCUGCGGAAAUAGGUUUUUUCCCGCUUUCCGCAGCAGAGCCUAGAAUGGCGGAAGUGCAGAAAAGAGAAUCCGCAUUUCCGCGUUUGCAAUAUGGCGGAAAGUCAAAAACAGAUUCCACACCUGCGUUUGCCAUAUAAGUACGUGCAUUUACUUCAGUAUUGAUAUUAGUUUAGGGUAAAUAUGUCAGGGUCCUUGAGUCCAUACCUGGUGUAACAUCGGUGUGAGCCGAUCCGAGCGUCCCAAUACAAAUCGUCAACAUUAAGCACUAAGGAGGAGGUCUACGAUAAGGGUGCUCUGGCCUGGGGGAUUGGGGGCCGAAGAGAGGAGGAAUGCAUGCAGGGAGCAGGGUAAGCAUCGGCAAGGGUGUGGGGCACACGUGAGUCCGUCACUAAGUUCCCCCACAUCUGGAAUUCCCUUUUAGGAACCCCUACAUACGAACACUAUUCGAAUCCGCCAAAUUUUAGAUCCCACAAAGCUGAACCGCAUUUGCCAAGAGCGUGUUUUUGAUGUUAUCGCAACACUGCAAAGAGCUAAAAAAGACAAAUUUACAUAGACAAUUUAUCCUUUUCGCAAGUUUCCGCAGCGUUUCUGCAAAGGGGUUCCCGAAUACGAAGUUUCGGCCCGAUCCCUGAAUAGGCUCCUCGUACGGCGCUAGCCGAAAGGGGCCGAAACUAGUUUCCGGCUUACGUAAAUAUCCGGUAUAUACCGCACCAAGCUUUAUUCUACGAAACUUGGAAACUGGUUUCUCAAGGUUGCCAUCUCGUGCAGCUUUCAGUUUAGGCCCGAACGUCGUAAAUAUAUUUAUCGAUUCUGGAGGUUUCCAUGAAUCUAUGCAACAUUCCAGCGACUCGGCAACUGUUGAUGUUAAUUUUUGGGCAGGGCCCCAGCGCGAAGCGCUCAGGGGGCCCCCAACCUGUAGGAUUGCCCAUGUCCGUGUGUGUGUGCGUGUGUAACGGACCAAACAUAAUAUCUCGCCUGGCUGAAACGCGUUAUAGGUAAUAUAUAUCAUUCUCUAUCGCAAGGUAUCGCGCCUGUAGCCAACAAAAAUCGUAUGAGCACAAACAACUUUGGCUGCCUCAACUGACCGAGGCCAAAGUCACAUCAACGCCUCUGGGGCUAAAUUUCAUCUCGAAAAGGUGCCGUGUAUCUCAUCAUUGAUUUCCGAGAUGACAGCGUAUGAUUACUUGAACACCCAGCUUGUGUUACCAUUUGCCUGCACGGGCAUUCACGUGUACGACUUGCCACCAGCAGGCCGACAAAUUUGCUUACAUUUCUCUAUGAAAUACGCAAGCUGCUCAUUUGUACAUUUACUUUAGCCAAUGCUCGGGGCCUCCGGAGACUUGUGUUGUGCCCCGAUGAAGCCUGCGGCUGUGGGGCAGAUUGCUGAGGCCGCUGGCGCUUCGGGAAUAAACAUCACAGACAGCACCGAAAUUCACCCAGCUUUCGUUACCAUUUGCCCGCACGGGCAUUCCGACUUGCGGUCUGUCGCACUGUCCAUGCGGCAUGCACCCGGGAUGGAUGCGAUUCACGUGGAGCCCGGUGCAAGCUUAGCUCUCACACCAUCAGCACUGCUGCAACAAAGCACAUCUCCCACCGCAUUGACACUACCCAUCAAUUGUCACAUGUGCCGCGCUAGCUACCGGCCUGUACAGAUGCAGGGGGGGCCCGCCCUUUUUCUGGCUUCGAGGAAGCCGACACCCGACUUGUCAUGCUAUGGCGGUAGGCGAAAAUAUGGCACUAAUAAUGCGAUAGCACUUUUGAAGCUUAUGCGCACAUUUCCUUGAAUGGAUCACAUCCAGUGCAAUACCACUAGAUAUUUACCAAGACAUGUAACAUUACUUGCAUGCUGUUUCUCAUGCUGGAUAAGGACACGGCACAACAGGGCGCAACCGAGCGCCGAGGAUAGAACUCUCGCUCAGCAAACAUCGAAUGUUUCUGGUGAAGCAGCUGGCCGCAUUUAUUGCGGCUUCAUAGGUUGCGGCCGUACGGUGGCAGUAGUGCCCUCUAACAUGCCCAUUGGGAUGACGAAACAACAGCUCACACUUUCAUGCAUUGACAGUGAGACAAGAGGAGCCUCUGCACUCGUGCAGUGCCUGUAGUAGGCUCAUCAACCGUCUCAGUGGCAUCAUCAACAGGCUCAGGUCGUCAAUAGAGGGCUAGGGGUACUCAACGACCUUCCACACUGAGGAUGUCAGGGGCCGCCAUGGCAGCAGGGUGCACGAUGUCUAAAGCAUCGACAUAGUCUGCAAAACCUUCAACAGAAAAACGAAGAGUGUGGGGCUCAUUGGGGAACCCUGCUUAACCCCUUGGGUUGAAGGGAACGCCUCUCCUAUUGCUCUGUUAACCUUGUCAACCCAGUCAAACACUUUCUCAAACCAAUCUGGCAAACAAAGAAUGCUUGGCCCGAAGCAUUGACGAAAUCCCUACAGCACUGGUCCAUGAGGUGUCGCACCAAGAACAGAUUCUGAGUGGUGCCAUGCUGAGGCCGAAAGCCACCCUGGUAAGGGCUGCGAGCACCACAGCAUUCCUCCCAGGCCUUUAGCCUCCGAUCAAGCAAGAACACAUAAAGCUUAGACGAGCCCCACCAACAGCCAGCCCCCAAUAGUUACUAGGAUCCAUGAUGUCACCCUUCUUGUGGAUGGGUGUGAAGGCAGAUACCUCAAACUGCCUUGGGUAGUCCCCAGUAGACCAGAUAUGCUUCAACAGACACAGCAGAUAUGGUGCAAGCACCAGCUCCUCCUUAUCCUCAACCUUCCUGGUGGCAUACUUAUAACACUUGGCAUGGGCCCAAGUCCCGGGGAUUUAUUGUUGCCCAGCAUUUUUUAGCGUAGUGAUGACCUCCACCAGGUAAACAGGGCACUCAGGGCUGCCACAGUGGUGACUCUCUGAUUUCAGGCCAGACAGCCCUCGCCAGCCCAGCCACACGGCAUCGUAAGUGAGCACCCAUUUUCUUCCCUGACACGCUUGGGUGCCGUGCACUGCUGGCCAAAACCCCUCUCCAACACCGAUAAGCAGGCUCGUGUGAGCACUUCGACAACCAUGGUGCUAUCAAGUUCACCCCAAAGUUUGCUAACAGCAUCUGAAAUGCGCUGCACAGCAGGGUAUCAUCGGUGGCAAACAAGCUCUCAUACCGGGCCUUUGUGUUGGAUGUCAAAAUGUGCCAUGGAUUUGCACCUCUUAGUUGGGUUGACACCCUCUCACAGUACCCCCAACUCAAGUGAAACCGGGCAGUGGUCACUCAUGAAGCUACCCACUCUCUCACCAGCAAGUAUGACAGGAAUAUCCAUUAUCCAUUAUGUGUAAUUGGUCCACCCUAAAGAAAAGGGUGGGGGAUGCUAUGAAGAGGUCAAUCAUGCUGAUGCCGUUCCGCUGGACUCCAAAAAGUGCACAACCCUUGCAAAUCUCCCUGAACACGCCCAUUCAAAACAACCAUCAACAUUUCCCGACAGAAGACCACCAAGGCCCGCCUGAAAGCAUUAUCAGUCUUGUCUUCUGACUGGUGAGGCAGAAUGGCAUGCAAAAGGUUUGCUUGCCCCAGCUCCACCUGAGCUUAAUCGCCUAACUUGGUGCCCCCCUCAGCAUCUGAGAAAUUCGAAGAUCUCUGCAACCCUGGAGUUCAGGUCCCCUAUUAACAAAACCUCGUCGCCCGGUUGCUGGUACUGUCUCACCAGCGACCACACUCUGUCCAUGACACAUCGUGUUAUGCUAUCCUGCAAUCUGAGUCCGCUAGCUGUGUAACACCGAGAUCUGAGCGGCACAGUGUAGCAAGCACCAAUAACCAAACCGUUCCCUCCAAGAGCCAGAGUUUUACCAUGAAGCCGCAGCCAAACACUGUUCAUGCCUCUUGGCGCGUCUGUGAGUAAUGUAAUGCGUGAUAUGCUGAUGCACCCAAACACAAACACCGUUCCCGCGACCUCCCAGCAAGGUAGCAACGUGACUCUUCAGGUAUCAGCGAUGAUAGCCUACCCAGAAGUGACCUGUGCAUUUCAGAAACGAUGUUGUAACACAAUGCAAGGUGAAGCAGCUCAUGCUGUUCUUGUUUCCAAUCAGUCACACCACAUAUAUUCCAUUGAAAUUUACGAAGUGGUUCAUAUCUUCAGUCGGUUUCCUAAGCAUCCUGGGUGGUGUCCAUUGCUACAGCCCCCAUGGAGGGAGGGGGUCCUCCUGGGGGACCACCCUGCCCUCAUCCACACCCACCCCAUGCCCACCUGCCACCUCUGCUCCCACCUGCUCCAGCCCCACCACCGAUCAUCAUCAUGUUGGCACCCGUUGCUGCACUGUUGCCGCUCAGUGUGUCGCUUGGCUGCCACAGUCCAGUGUAGGGCCGCCAGGUCCCAUUGGUCUUCAUGGAGAUGUCCACACCAUUUCCC